UUGAGUCCAAAGUUUGGGGAACAUCCUAAUACGGUGGGAGGAGUCAUUUGGUGCCUUUUGCCUGAAAUCCAAUGGCUAAAACUAUGCAAUACACCAACCACUCCAUUUCAGAACGAACUUCGUACGAACCUGAAUUGUCCAAUUUCAUGGACCAAGCGAUAUCGGAUUGAGGCCAAAACUUGGGAAACAACAUAAUAUGAUGGUUGGAGUCAUUUGGUGACAUUUGAGUGAAAUCCAAUGGCUUAAAC
rnacentral:lncRNA from 1 species